CAGGGUACUUUCACAAUCGUUGUAAUACGUGAUCCAAUAGAAGGAAAACAUUGUUGGAUGUGCAAGAAACAGUUAAAAUAGCAACAACAGAGAUAAAGUAAAACGGAAACAUUAGAGAGGUUUGAUCACACAUUACAUUGGUGUGCUUUAAUUCAGAGUGCAAUCUCAAGUUUAAUGCAACUUCCAGAGGGCUCAAGUACAACUAAGAUAACACUCAAAAAAGAUUUUCAUUUAAAGAGAGAGGGAAAGGAGAGUUACAAGGCUGUAGGAAGAAAGAGGAGACACAAUGACGGUGGUGGCUACUUCGGG